GAUGAAGAACGCAGCGAAAUGCGAUACGUAAUGUGAAUUGCAGAAUUCAGUGAAUCAUCGAAUCUUUGAACGCAUAUUGCGCUCUCUGGUAUUCCGGAGAGCAUGCUUGUUUGAGUAUCAGUAAACACCUCAACUCCCUUUUCUUUUUUGAAAUUGGAGCUGGACUUGAGUGAUCCCAACGCUUUCUUCCAAGAAAGUGGCGGGUUGCUUGAAAUGCAGGUGCAGCUGAACUUUUCUCUGAGCUAUAAGCAUAUCUAUUUAGUCUGCCUAAAAAACAGAUUAUUACCUUUGCUGCAGCUAACAUAAAGGAGACUAGUUCUUGUGCUGACUGAUGCAGGAUUCACAGAGACAGCUUCGGCUGACUUUGUAAACUCGAUCUCAAAUCAAGUAAGACUACCCGCUGAACUUAAGCAUAUCAAUAAGCGAGGA
rnacentral:misc_RNA from 1 species